GACGAACGCUGGCGGCGUGCUUAACACAUGCAAGUCGAACGGAAAGGCCCUGCUUUUGUGGGGUGCUCGAGUGGCGAACGGGUGAGUAACACGUGAGUAACCUGCCCUUGACUUUGGGAUAACUUCAGGGAACUGGGGCUAAUACAGGAUAGGAGCUCCUGCUGCAUGGUGGGGGUUGGAAAGAUUCGGCGGUUGGGGAUGGACUCGCGGCUUAUCAGCUCGUUGGUGGGGUAGUGGCUUACCAAGGCUUGGACGGGUAGCCGGCCUGAGAGGGUGACCGGCCACAUUGGGACUGGGAUAAGGCGCAGGCACCUACGGGAGGCAGCAGUGGGGAAUAUGGCGCAAUGGGCGGAAGCCGGAUGCAGCAACGCGGCGUGCGGGAUGACUGCUUUCGGGUUGUAAACCGCUUUCGCCUGUGACGAAGCGUGAGUGACGGUAAUGGGUAAAGAAACACCGGCUAACUACGU
rnacentral:rRNA from 1 species